CUGGCGGCAGCUGCAGGGCGAAUAGCCCGCCAAGUUGCUUAGGUGUGUGGCAGUUGCUGCCUUUCUGCAGCGGCGGGGUGGGCGACGGUGGCGGGAUGAGCAUCCAGGCGGGAUCCUUUGGCGGCAGCAGCAGAGAGAGCUCCACCCGGAUAAUGCAGAGGCCCAGGCUCCAGCGGACUUCAAGUCCCAGAGCAGGCUGCACCCGCGUCUGCGUGAAAUCUAAAGGGACUUGGCCUGAUCACAAAUGAGCUAACUUCGCGGCGGGGCUGGCGAACACAGACAAUGCCAGCCUGGAGGAGGCAGUGGCCAGCACUGCUUAGGCCUCGUUCCCAGGACGCGCAUUACUGAGUGCUGUACUUUACCCUUUGGAUGAAGGCUCCAGAGUACGACCUCCCCAAACUGAUAUCAAAGAAGUGCUUUGCAUGGGGCUUGAGAAAACAUCUUACUGUUUAAGAAAAGAACGUCUUACUGUCUGAGAAGCUGAAUAGAAUGAGAUGCCAUCAGUAUUGGGUGUUAUUUUUCAGAAGUUGCUCAAAGAAGGAGAGAAGAUGGUUAAGUGGGGAUGGAGACAAUUAUUUUGUAACUCAUAGAAGGACAGAUGUUUAUGUAACAGUUGAUAGUUUUGGUGGAAUAAUCAUGAGCAUGUUUCUGAAAUUAAUAUAAAAUAUACAGAGACCCCUAAAAUCACUGCUUAAAUUACACGGGUCUUGAGGUGUUCGGAAAGAGCAAACUUUGGAAGUAUAAUUGUAAAAAUAAUGUCAUACAGACAAAGAGAAGAGAAAACUUAACGACAGCUUUCUUAAAUCGCUGUUAUUCUUGAAUCAUCUGAAAGCAGUACACGUGCCUGGCACCAAUAUACAUCAGAGAGUAAAUCAUUGCACAAGGAGACUUGAUCUUCUUUUUUUGUAGAAUCUGGAGGAAACAAAUCUAUGAAAAGCAAGAGAUGGUAGAGAAUGGUGUUGUCGAAAUUGCCUGACAUCAUUGGAGAUAGAGAAUUUGCCCUGGUAAAAGGUGCUCCUCAGGGAGGAGCAUCUGCACAUUCCAUUAGCAUAAAGCCCCUGGUGGGCCAUAUGAAGAAGUCUGGAUUUUGCUAUAAAUGUGAAAUUUAUUUUAAAUGGAGGAUUUGAAGCAGGGGGGUAAUAUACCCUGACAUAUUUUAAAAAAUCACCCUAGCAGCGUUUGUGCGGGGUAAAGACUCUGGGAGGACAAGAAGAGAUGUGGAAGGGAGAAGGCAGCUAAGAGUCUGUCCCAGGAUUGCAAAGAUGUUGGAGCCCGACCUCAGAUGAUAUGCUUCCUUAUGAACUGACGGUGACUCCCAAAUUCAUAUGUUGAAGACCCAACUCCCAACGGACUUGGAGGUCCACGAAGGGCUAGAUAAGGGAAGCUGGUUUGCGUUCAGGGAAGCGGCAGAGGAGGGAAGCUGGCAGCUGGGCUGUGCUAAGAUGACCUUAGCCCCAGACCCUGGAUGAACAUCCUCUUCUGGAUACAGGACCUGCCCGAGGCAUCAUUUUGAAAUAGUCAAAUUUUAUUUGCUUUGUGUUCUUUCAUCACAUAUAUUAGCUUUUGCCUCUUGAGUGCCAAAAUAUAGCUGUUUUUAUAUUACCCCAAGUUCCUGAGUUUAUUUUUUAGGUAAGAAUUUUCCACCCUUUGAAAUCCCAAAUGACAUGUUUACUCUCUUUCUCAGACCAUGCUUUCAUUUCAGUCAAUGUAACAAAUCAGCCAGGUCUCAGGAGUUUAGAAAUCUGAUUGGAUUGAUUUAUACUAAGCGGUAACAGAUCUACCACAGCCUUCUAAGAUGAAUUGGAGUUUCUUAAAAACUCCAUGACCUACACUAUUCUUUAGGUGCUGGAAUUGCACACUUUCAAAUCACAUCAAGUAUAAACAUUCAAUUUUGUGGGGGGUUAUUUUCUAUGGAGAGAUGAGGUGUUGAUUAAUACUGGUAGGCUUUACUCCAAAAGACAAUUCUAUUAAGAUUUCUUUUGUUUUUUAAAAUCUAGACUAUCAGAAGGAGUAAAAAUGCCAAUUUUUUUUUUCUUUUUGCUGUGGCUACAAUGUUCACAGUAAUCCAAGCUCCAAUGACAGGGGGGGAGAGCGGAGCCAAAUGAGGCCCCGUUUUUUUCAUGAAGUGUAUUUUUCUUUUUUUUUUUGAGAUCAGGGGUUCAGAAAUUGUAAUAUAAGUGUUCAAUUAUAAAGUUAUUAUGAUAGUGCAUGGCACGUGUCCUUUCCAUCAUCUGGAUUUUUCCACUUUUACUGUAUGGCUCACUCUUACUCACUCUCCAGUCUUCACCUUAGUGGUCACUUCCCCCUGAAAUGCCCUUGACCCCUUAAGAUAGCAGUGCUGCAAACAUCGUAAGCUGAAUUUAUAGCCAGACUCACAGGCAACACCUUAUCUUGUGCCAUGCUUCACUAAUGAUGAGGAAGUGAGAAAGAGUAGGGGAAAGGAGGCACAACAAAUGUCAUUUCCAUAACAGAGGCCUCAAGGCCAGCCCACUUGAUUCUCUGGAGAUCCUUUUCUGCAUAACAAUGAUGAAAGGUAGCCUAAGAAAGCCAUUUGUCUGAGGCUUCACCUUUGAUACCUUGCUAGACACUAAACUAAGAGACUGAUUCCAUUCUUUAGUAUAGCCAUUGCCUCAUAAAUCCAUACAUAACAGGGGUAUUUCUUUCCAAUAAAGUAUCCAUAUAGAUUAGGUAUAUUCUAUUGACAAUUUUAUUAAAGUUCUUCAUUUAUCUUCCAGAUAGUAGAUUCUAUCAACCAAGUUUCAUAAAGAGUUCUGAUUCCCAGAGGUAAGAACUGAGCCUGGCUUUCUAGUUACAUGUUUAUUGGUAACUCUGUCCUUCCCUACAACACUUAAGCAUAUUUAAAGACUAUACCCUCCCCUGCCUCCAGCUUGGAUUGUAAGCUCCUCAAGAGCAUGGCUGUGUCCUUUAACAUCAAGUCUCCAUGUGAGAAAGAGUUCCUGCCAUAUCACAAAUGCCCAAUCAACAUUUGUAAGUGAAGAAAGCUAUUCUGUGGUGUCUGCUUUAAUAUUAAGAGAUGGCUUGCCCAAGAUUGCUAAGCAGCUUCAUUGUCUACAAUGGAACAAGAUUCUGUGGGUAGCAGUUCCAUUGGUGCCACUGACAGGAGGCCUCAAGGAAACCUAGUGCACUAGUCUUUCUGAUGACGCCUUGAUUUUCUUCCAGCACAGAGCCGUAAAAUGGAAUAUUCUUCUGACACAGAUACUUCAUGCAUCGCAUGAUCAGCCGUGUCCCAUUGCCUCUCCUUCGGUAUUUUUCCACACUGUAGCCCAUUCCUAUUUCACAAGAAGGGUCCAUGGUUACCCAUGAGACCGGGACCCCCUCUGGGCCCAGCAUACAGGCUGCUGGCAGGGCUCCUAGGCAGCGCUUGAUGUAACGCAGGCUCCUCUUAUUCAUCCCUAGCUUCCAGUUGUCAUUUACCAGCCCAGAAUAAGACACAUUCAGCUGGGCAUACUUAAAGUUCGGAGUCUCGCUGUAGAAAACAAAAAGAAAGACAACAACUUUCAUCCCCACUCCUGUAAUUUCUAGGUGCCCUUCCAUUCUAGAGAUCCCAGGCCCUCUUCUUGUUAAAAGACCCACCAUUGCAAAGUGGCGUAUUUUGACCACUGACAACCUUUAUUCAUCCCAAGGAAUGAAUUCAUCCUCUCUUCAUUCCAAAACUGAUUUAUGUGAAUUACAAAAAUGUACAAGGAAUAGCAAUUAUAAAUGAUCAGCACAUGUUUUUUGUACCUCUCCAAUUCGUCAUCUGGGUGGCCUGUCUCAGCCCAGCUUCCAAGCUUGCUUUUAUUGGUGGCAUAGAGCUUCAGGAUAUCUUCCGUAACAAAGAGGAGUGCUCUCGAAUGCUCUACCUUCACUGAAUUUGAAAAUGCAGCUGCUCUUAUCCCCUCACCUAAACUUUCUUGAAAACCUGAGAGAAAGCCAAGAAAGCAAUAUUGUCAGACAUGCAGUUCUCUACUUACACUGCUCACACCUGAUUAAUGCCUCAGUGCUUAGUAGUUCUCAAAGUUGAGUUUACACCACAAUCAGCUAUAGUCCUUGGCACACCACAGAUUGCUCCACCUCUCCCAGCUCUGAGAAUUUCAAGGAAUUUACAUUUCUAAUGAGCUCUCAGGUGAUGCUAAUGCUGUUAGUUGAAGACACAAUUUGAGAAGCACAGCUGCUUGCCCAUUUCUUCAGACUUGUUACCUUGGAUUUGGAGUUUCUGUUUCCAGUUUAUGAUCUCAGAAUUUUUCAAAACUUCUUGUGAUUUUUGAGGGUCUUUGGAGAAUACACGAUAUACAUUAGUGUAUGAAUCCAUGUCAUCAGUCAUCUCCUGUGUAGGAUGGUGAAAGGUCAGAUCAUUCCCUUGAACUUUUUCUUCUCCUCUCACUGAUUGCAAUUAUUAGAAAAAUGAAAAUUCAAAAGAAAGUUUUAGCACUAGCCCACGAUGGCUGCAGUUGGGCACGUGGAUAAUAUAAGUGAGACCUAUAAGCUACUGCUGACCUCUUACCUGUGUAACUGGAGUUUGUUAAAUAUUGAACACUGACAGUUACUGGUUAUAAACCUGCUUCUCAGAUACAUAACAAAGACAGGAUGAAAUCAGUCACCCUCCACCAGGCCUUAAGAUGCCUCACUUUUCUCCCUACCCACUCAACUGCACACUUACCUUAUUUUAUAUAUAGCAUCACAGAGCGCCCAGCAGAAGCAAAGGAAUGCAACAAUUGCUUCUCUCCCUGCUUCUCUCACCUCCUGGACCACACAUAUCCCCCUGUUAUAUAUACUGUGCCCCACAUAACCCCCUGUGGGACAUAUUCUGGGUUGUACUGAGUCCGUGUUGAUAGGGUUAAGUUCUUAAGCUCGGCACAAGAUGAAUUUAACCAUGAUUUCUCUAAGUUAUAGUGCCUACUGUUUCACCAGACACCUACAAUCUAUAUUGUUCUAGAAUCUGCAGUGUCCAGGGUUUGAGCAAGAUACUUUAGUGAAUAUAAACAUUAAGGAGACAUUGCCUUUUCCCAAGGCUACAGGAUAUCAGCCUCUUUGAAGAGUGACAUGGCCUUUACAGCCAGAAGCCCACAAAAUAGAAUGAAGUAACUGAAUUUUCCGUAGCACUCUGCGCAAUUUAUGUGGUGUUAGACUCAUGGGUUUUAAAGAAAGAUACUUGUGAUCUCAUUCUCACAAGCCACAAACUUCAUGGGACGAUGAGUAUCUGUUUAUCAGGGGAAAUAUAAACAAUAAGUGUGAGUUUUAGCAGUGCAUGUAUUAAUAUUAUGUUGAAAAUUGUAUUGUUAAGGAGUAAAAGAGAAAAUAGUGUAACUAAUUUUAAAGAAACCUUCAAGAAUUUGAGGAUGCUUUUAUAAAUGCAAGUUCCUGAAUAUGGCCAAAACACAACACCUCAGUGAAUUUAAAAGAGUAGAUGUUUUAAAAGACCGGAUUUUAAAAGAAUGACUGAACAUAGCCAAGUAAAUAUUCAAAGAAUUAUAAAAAGAAUAUCAAAGUAGACUAGAAAAUAACAAAUGGAACAAUUUGUAAAAAUGAAAGCCAUAAAUAAUGAAAUGUAGAACAAGACACAGUGCAAAUGAUAUAUAAAGCCAAAAGUUCAUUUUUAAAUGGCAAAAAGAAAGAGCAGAAGAGAGAGAGAGAUAAACUUCUGGUAAGGCAUUUAAAGGAAAUAGAAGAGAAAGAGAAAAAAGAAAAAAAAAAGGCAUAGAGUAUGAGCCAUGAGAAUGGAAACAGAAAAGGAAAAAGACUUAUAAUAGAAGAUUAUAUACUACUCCAAGGCAACAUAUUCACUGAUAAAGAAAUGGAUGUUAUCCCUCAAGAAUAAACUAUCAAAAUUGACUUUCAAAAAAUAGAAAACUUCAAUGAACUAAUAGAAAUAUCGGAAAUGAAAUGAAAUAUCUACCAUUUGAAAAGUGGACAAGAAUUAUGGCUUCCAGCUCCAUCCGUGUUGCUACAAAGGACAAUAUUUUAUUCUUUUCUAUUGCUGUGUAGUAUUCCAUAGGAAUACAUGUACCAAGUUUUUUUAUCCAAUGCACCUUUGAUGGGGAUCUGUGAUGAUUCCAUGUCUUUGCUAUUGUGAACAGUGCAGCAAUGAACAUCCUAGUGCAUGUGUCAUUUUGGUAGAACGAUUCAUUUUCUUUUGGGUAUUUACCUAGUAAUGGCAUUGCUGGGUCGAAUGGCAACUCUCUUUUAAGUUCUCUAAGAAAUUUCCAGACUACUUUCCACAGUGUAAUAAUCCUAAGCAAAUUAAUGCUGUAACAGAAAAUCAAAUAUCACGUUUUCACUCAUAACUGGGAGCUAAGCAUUGAACAUACAUGGACAUAAAUGUGAGAACAAUAGACACUAUGGACUCUAGAGGGUGGAGGGAAAGGGGCUGGGUUAGAAAACUACCUAUCGGGUACUAUGCUCACUACCAGGGUGAUGGGAUCUGUCCAUACUCCAAGACUCAGCAUCAUGCAAUAUUUGCGUGUAACAAAUAUGCACAUGUACCCCCUUUAUCUAAAAGGAAAGUUGAAAUUACAAACUAAAAAGUAGCCAAAAUUAGAUUAUUUUACAUUUCAAUUCUACAUAAGGCAAAACCAAACACAUAAUUUUAAUAGUAGACUUUGGUAACAGAUGAAAAUAUCCUAAUGCCAAAUCUGGUAAAGAAAUAACAAAAAGAGAGUUACUGACCAUAUUGGCUUAUGAAUACAGAUGCAAAAAUUCUGAAUAAAAUAUUCAGUAGCAUAUGAAAAGAAUGUGAACAUGAACAGUUUGUUUUAGAAAGGCCAGAAUGAGUUUGAUCAGAAGAUCUUUUAGGGUAAUAAAUUAAAGGAGGAAAAAAUUACAUGAGUAUAUAAAUUGCCAUAAAAAGACAAAAAUGAAAUAACAUAAAAUCUACCGUUCAUUCUAAAUAUAAUUUCUAUGAAAAUGGGAAAACAGGAAAGUGCUCUAAGCCUGUAAAGACAGAAUUAAAUGUAAUUCCAAAGGUAAGUUUUUAUAGCUAUUUCAUUAAAAUCAGGAAUGAGACAAGGAUAGAACUUUUAUUAUGGCUACUUGGUAUUGUUUUCUUAGGUUGUACAUUAUACAAUAAGGCAAGAAAGUAAAAACCCAUACAAAUAUUGGCAAAGAAGCAGCAAAUUACUUUGUUUAUAGAUUACAGUAUUACACAUUUAGAAAAUAUAAGAGACUUCGACAGAAAACAAAAACAAAUAACACCCCAGGCAAACAAAGAAGAUUUUAAAGCAUAGUGUGACAUAUUUGGAAAUGAAGAAUAUAAAUAGAAAGCAAUAACAAAAUAAUAAUGCUCAGAAAUAGAAAAGGAAAAAUAAUUUAAUAAUCUUAAAAAAUAAUAUAAAAUACCUAAGGGUAAACUUAAUGGAAAAAUCACGUAGUUUACCUCAGGAAAACACUAAUAUUUUACCAGAUGGCAUAGAACAGAAACUGAAAAAAGUGAGAGAAAGACCAUAUUUCUUGAUAAAAAUAUUUAGUAUCACAAAAAUAUUAAUGCUUCCACAAUUGUCUAAAAAAGCUCCUCCAAUACAAAUCACAAUUGCAAUACUUAGUUGGGGAAAUUGGGGAACUGAAAAAUUAGUUUUUGUUCAUAUAGCUCUGAAGUUUAUAAGAAAUAGGAAAGCAAGAAAAAGAUUAGUGAAGGGUGAUUUGCUUUAUUAGAUAUUAAAAUUUGCCACAAAACAAUGAAAUAGCAUGAGAAAAGAUUAGAAACAAAUACAGAAAUAGCUACAAAAAUAUAUAAAAGUUAUAUGACAAAAUAGACAUUUAUGUUUCAGUAGCAGAAUGACUUACUUAAUAAAUAGCACUAACGUAAUUAGCCAGCCAUUCGGGGGAUAAAUAUAAAAGAAUGUUAAUUCAUGCUAUUCAAAAAUAUAUUCCAAAUAGAAUGAAGUUUGAAAUGUCAAAAGUAAAAAUUAACUCACUGUAAGACAAAAUGAAAAAAACAACUUGUACGAUCUUGGUUUAGGAAAAAUCUUCCUAAUUAUUAACAAAAAAACUCCCAAAGCCUCAGGAAUCAUAGUGAAAAAGAUAAUAUAUUUGAUUACAUGAAAAUUAAAAAUUGCUUCAUGUGAAAAUCUAUCAAAUUAGAAAAUAAUUCUAAAUUGGGCAACAAAUUUGUAGCAUACACCUUGUGUUAGUAUCCCUCAUAUCCAAAACACAUAGAGAAUUUUAAGAAUGACACAAAAUCCCAGUGUAAAAAUGGUCAAACAAUAUAAACAGUUCAGAAGUAAACCCAAAAUGACUGAUAAUCAUAUGAAAAUAUAUGUUGAAUAUCACUAGUCAGGGAAAUGCAAAUUAAAUCUACAAUAAGAUGCCACUUUUCACCCACCAGUUUGGCAUAAAGUAGAAGAAGGAUAACAUUCACUGCUGAUGAGAAUGUGGGAAACAAUUCUUCCACAGAUUGCUAAUGGAAAUAAUACUGUGGAAUCCUUUGGGAGGGUAGUCUGGCAGUGCCUACUUAGGAUAAGAUAAGCUCUGACUUGGACUUAUCCCUUUUGGAAACCAAUUGCAUUGAGAAAAGUUUCCAGGAUGUAAAGACAUGUAUACAAGGAUGUUUAUUGAAGCAUUGUUUGUAAUGGCAAAGAAGUAUGAACAAUUUGAACCCAACAGGAGGAGAAUGACUGACUAAAUAGCAUUGCAUUGACUCUAUGGAACGCCACAGUUAUUAAAACAAAUAUGUUAGUGCUGUAUUGAUUCACUCAAAGCAAUGUCCAUAUGUCAAAGGCAAAUUAAAAAGCGAUUACAGAAGAGAUCAUAACUGAAUAUCCGUUUGUGUGUUAAUAUGGCCAAGGACACCGAUUACCCCAAAGGGUAGGAAUGGAGGAGAGGAGGGCAAAGAGGUGAGAGGUUAUUAACUUCUUAAAAUCAUGUUGAAUUUUUCCACUUCUAUAAUCAGCAUAUAUUAUCUUUCUGAUUAGGAACCAACAAAGAAAAAUUAAUAUUUUUCUAGAGAAAUUCUCCUGCAUCUCACCUUAAAAAGGUCUUCUUCAAAAUUGCAUUGAUUUUCAAUACUGAAAGAAACAUGGUAUACUAUGGAAUCAGACUAAGUGAAUGUAUUUCCAAGUAAAUUGCAGCAUAUUUCAUUCUUUCCAUUUUUUUGGUCAUAUAUGUGUGGCAUGGAACUUUUAUAUUUUAAUAUUUUUGUUUGCUGACUCACUAUAUAAAAACUAGCCUUGUUCAAAGCAAUGCAUAUAUGAAGUUACAGCUUGAUGGUACAGUUACAUUGUUAAAAUACACAUAGUGACUACAAAGUUACUGAAGUAAAAAGAACUAUUUGGUUCAUACAGUUAUUUAGCGUAUGACACUUUGAAGAAAUUGGACCAUGGAUCAAGUAAACUAACCAUUAAUCAUCGAUCCGAAAUUGUCAGGAAACCAGGAGAUCAAAAGAACAUCCCUGGGGAAGGUAUUAGGCUCAGCUUAUUAUUAUGUGGGGGCUCAGUGUCUAUACCCACCUGAAGCUGGGCUGGCCAUGAGGCUUCAGUUCACUAAUCAGAUGUGCAUGAAACAGACACAAAAAGGGGAAGUCUUUAGGGCCAAAAAAUAGACCUAGGUUUGUAUUACUAUUUCAGCUUAAUCGUGUAUUCCUUGUGUGUCCUCGGCCAAUAAUGGCUAAUUAUGGUAAAUACUAUUUAGAAUUAUGUGCUAUAUACUAAGUGUUUGACAUGUGGUAUCUCAUUUAAACCUUGUGUAAUCCUCUGAAGAAUGUCCUCCUAUUUUUCCCAUUUUAACAGAUGAUAAAACUCACAGAAGGGCCUAUGGUUAUAUAGCUAGUAAAAGUGGCAGAGUCCGUUGAACUUGAAUUCAGAUUGGGGAAUGCUUUAACAGAUGGUAUCCAGCAGCUACCUGACUGAAUAUUUCUCAGUGUUGUUUCCUCAUCUCUAAAUUAAAGAUAUUAAAGCUCA
rnacentral:lncRNA from 1 species